rnacentral:rRNA from 1 species
UACGUAGGGGGCGAGCGUUGUCCGGAUUUAUUGGGCGUAAAGAGCGUGUAGGCGGCCAGAUAGGUCUGCUGUGAAAACUCGAGGCUCAACCUCGAGACGUCGGCGGAAACCAUCUGGCUAGAGUCCGGAAGAGGAGAGUGGAAUUCCUGGUGUAGCGGUGAAAUGCGCAGAUAUCAGGAAGAACACCCGUGGCGAAGGCGGCUCUCUGGGACGGUACUGACGCUGAGACGCGAAAGCGUGGGGAGCAAACAGG